UAGAAGCUCGAGCAGUCAGGCGUACUGGAAUGUGCUGUGACAAGGAGAGGUUGAGAGUGGAAGUCCUGACCAGGGUACUAGACUGACCUUUAACUCUCAGAGGAAACUCAAUUUAAAUGUAAGAACUUCCUGAGAAGAGGAAAACAUCCCUUCUCUGUGAUGAAUGCCCUUCUUAAAGUACCUUUUGCGUCGCAUAAUACUCUAUCCAGAUCAACCAACCAGAUGGAUGCUUUCUGUCUAAAUUGUCAGUUAUUGAAAGUAUGGCUACAUGAGACAAGACGCAGAGCAAGUGAAUGCAGAAACAAAGCGAGAUAAAAGCUCACGAAAAAUCCACAGGUCACCAUCUCGCUCAACUCAAAGCAAAAGUUCAAUAUCCCAGAGAAACAGUGCAACUGUCCCAGACACGUGAAUACUGCCAUCUGAUGAAAGACCUCAUUUAGGAGGCAAGACCUUUGCAGUUUCCUGUUGAUAGUGGAUCACAGCUGGAGGUCAAAGGUCAUCAGUAUGUGUGUGUAUCUGUGUCACCUAACACUCUGACAAAGUGUAUUUCAUUUUUCAUUCUGUCCAACAUCCCUGAUUAUACUAUAAACAGACCUUUUUACAGGAGAGCUGAAGAGAGAGAGAGAUCUGCUGAUAGUGAAACCAUUUUUAUUAACAAUAUUUUCAUCCUUUUGAUAAUGGGAUUAUCUAUGCUUUUCUUUGCAUGUUUGUGACAAGUUACAGAUCUUUGUGUCACAGCAACAUAAAUGAGAAAUCGAACCUGUCUCAAAAAUAUGAAUAUACAUCAUAUUACAGAGUUUCUGCAGGUCUUAAAAAGUC
ensembl:lncRNA